GAUGAACGCUAGCGGCAGGCCUAAUACAUGCAAGUCGAACGAUACCAGAGAGCUUGCUUUCUGGGAAAGUGGCGCACGGGUGCGUAACGCGUAUGCAACCUACCUUAAUCAGGGGGAUAGCCUCUCGAAAGAGAGAUUAACACCGCAUAAAAUCACACUUCGGCAUCGAAGAAUGAUCAAAUAUUUAUAGGAUUAAGAUGGGCAUGCGUGACAUUAGCUAGUUGGUAAGUAACGGCUUACCAAGGCUACGAUGUCUAGGGGAUCUGAGAGGAUGACCCCCCANACUGGUACUGAGACACGGACCAGACUCCUACGGGAGGCAGCAGUAAGGAAUAUUGGUCAAUGGGGGCAACCCUGAACCAGCCAUGCCGCGUGCAGGAAGACGGCCCUACGGGUUGUAAACUGCCUUUAUACGGGAAUAAAUCUCGCUACGUGUAGUGAGUUGAAUGUACUGUAAGAAUAAGGAUCGGCUAACUCCGUGCCAGCAGACG
rnacentral:rRNA from 1 species